UACGUAGGGGGCAAGCGUUGUCCGGAUUUAUUGGGCGUAAAGAGCGUGUAGGCGGCCAUACAGGUCAGCUGUGAAAACUCGGGGCUCAACCCCGAGCCUGCAGUCGAUACGGGCAGACUAGAGUGCGGUAGGGGAGACUGGAAUUCCGUGGGUGAUAGCGGUGAAAUACGCAGAUAUCAGGAGGAACACCGGUGGCGAAGGCGGGUCUCUGGGCCGUAACUGACGC
rnacentral:rRNA from 1 species